AAAAUGUCCCUAAAGGCUUGGAAAUAAAUUAAGGGAUUAGCCUAGGAGUGUUUGAUCAAUUAAAACAAUCAAUUUGGGGUAUAAAAGGGAGUUUACGGCCCAGGCAUAUGCCAAGGCCGUAAACACCCCUUAAUCAUGUCUAAAUGUCCUAAAAACACUCCUAAAACACCCUAGGACUUAAUACAUAAAUUAAGGGCUUAUCCUUUUGGGUUUAGAACAUUUAAACAUAAGGAUUUGGAGGAUUGAAAGGAGUUUACGGCCGCAAAAUCAUGGUGAGAUGUCCCUGGGCCGUAAACUAAGCUUUGGGAGUUUACUCUUGAAGAGUAAACUCCAUUCCCUAGCCAUACACACCUUUAGAGGCUACCCGGGACACCCAAACACUUAACCAAAGUGUUUUCUGCUCCUUUGAGCGCGUAUACUUGUUUAAUUAGUAUUAAAUAUACUAAUUGUAUGUGAACAUAUGUUAUCAUAUGUUAAAUAGGUCAUUAAGUGUGNGUCAUCGAGUGUGUUCGAGUCUUUACGUGACACCGAACGCCCAAACGGCACCUACGUCGGACCUACUAACACCACGUGAGUUCAUACCCCUGAAUGAACGUUUUAAUGUUUUUACAUGUUUUAUAGGGGGGAAUACAAGUUAAACAUGCCAGUUAUCAUAUCAAUCACACAUGAUUGAUAACCCGCAUGCACAAGAUUUUACCACACUGUACACUAUUUAACCGAGUAGGACACUAUAAUGGUUUUCAAAAGGGAUUUCAAUUGUUUCAAAACUCUUACUUAUACUGUUUUACCUAAAUUCAUUUUAAACUGGUUUAUGAAAGAUUCCAAAGAUUUCUAAAGGUUUUCACACUUAUUUUACCAAAGAAUACCAAAUGCGAGUUUUCCUGAGUAUAAAGGUUUUUCCAAGGUUUUCAUCAAAGUUCCAUCUCACGUUGUAUAUUUUUACUUGUUAGUUACCGCUGCUUUGCUUUCAUGUAUUUUAAACUCCUACUCGAUAAUGCUUUCACUUCGUGAUGCGUUUAUACCUGUUAUUGUCUCUAUUUCACUUAUACUUGUAGUCGGUUAUACCUGAUAGACGCUCUUACUUCACUUAUUGUUGUCCCCACUUCGUGAUACACUUAUACUUGGUACACUUAUACUUCACGAUUCUAUUAUCCCACACUGUACGCUUAUACUUCACGACUCAGAUGUUCCACUGUAUGCUUAUACUUCACGACUCGGAUAUUCCACUGUACGCUUCUACUUCACAAGUCGGUUAUUCUACACUGUACACUUAUACUUCACAAUAUGAUUCCACUUGAUACACACUCAAGCAUAGUUAGAUGUAUGUAUGUGCUUGUAUAGAUGCAUAUAAAUAAUGAUUGACGGACUUAGGAAGGCUUGUCCGCCCUAUUUCCUUUUCUUCGUUGAGAUGUGGUCUGGUGGGAUCGGAUGUCCAUCCGAAGGUCGUUUGAUUCAUUAGUUAUAUAUUAUGUACACAAGCAUAGACAUAUGGGUUUACUUCAGUCAGUUCAGUUAUGAGUCUCUACCUCUAGUUCAGCACUUACAUUAGAAACCCACUAGUUGGAAGUCUCUACCCACUAUUUGGGAUGCAUCUUCAGGACACGGCCUUCUCCGUCGUCUAGUUGGUAACCAGAGUCUCCUGUAGGGAGAGCGGACAUUGUGUGUAUAGAUCUAUACGGGAUUGACACCCCCGCACCCUGACUGCUAGCUACAGUCCACGGCCUACCAAGCCAAGGGGUGACAAAUGUCAUAUUUUAUAGACGCUUGUAGGGCGUCAGGUACUCUAGUGUCGGUUAGUAUGGUUACGAGUAUCCCAGGUUACCUUAUAAUUCAUGGCCUUAAGGUAAUGGUAAUUCACCAAUAAUUUACACUGUAUGCUGGAAACCCACUCUCGAAGUCACACUGUUUUAGACCUUGCUAGACGUAUCAUUCAUUUGAUAAUGUCUGGGUCUGUAUUCACUGUAUUCACUGUAAACACUGUAUCCACUGUAUCCACUGUAUCCACUGUAUCCACUGUAUUCACUGUAUUCACUGUUUUAGACCUUGCUAGACGUAUCUUUCAUUUGAUAUUGUCUGCGGUCUGUAUUCACUGUUUUAGACCUUACCAGCUGUACCUUUCAUUUGGUACCUUCUGGGGUCUGUGUCUCUAUUUGUUAGACUGAACCAGGCGUGUCGUUCGUUCGAUACUCUCCUGGAGUCUAUGAUUCCUUUGCCUUAGUCAGCAGUCCUCACUGCUGAGGCAUAUGUUAUUUCCCUGUUGUCUCUUGCUUUCUUUAAUAAUCAAAUUCAGUAUUUUGAUAAUGAUAGCAAUUAAGGGAAAACUACUUUUUACCACAUAACACUGACCAGUCUUGGUAGAAGGCUGCUUUUAUUAAAGAAAAUAUAGGAUUUUCUGGAAAGAACUCUAAUACACAGUAAACACUUAAACUACUACUUUAUAAAGUUAUUUGAAUAAAUGUCACUAAAUGCUUAUGAACUCACCAGCAUUUGUAAAAAUGCUGAUACUCGUUUUUCAAAUAACUUGUAUUCUCAGGUUAGCAUUAGACAGGUACAUCCCAGGAGCUGUUGAUGAAGAUAGCUUAAUACCACGCCGUAUUUAUUCUAUUACUUGUAUUACUUUGAUGUAUUGUAAUGUAACCAUGUAAAACUAUUACUAUUAAUGCAAUGUUUUGUUGUACUUUGAUUACUAUAAUGCAUGUGUUGUGAUACUUGACAUGACGUCAUCCACCCCAGAACGUUUCCACCGUUCCGGUUUUGGGGUGUGACAGAUUGGUAUCAGAGCAUUGUUUAUAGUGAGCUAAGUAUAUCAAUUCAUAAAAGAUAUACAACCUAUAAAUACAAAGGGAUAAAACACUCUGACCAAGAAUUAUACUUUAAAAUAUAACCAUAUUUUACCAAAGUAUAAGAACAUCCAGAAUCUAAACACUCGAACAAAAGUAUCACAAGAAGAACAAGAAUAAAAGUCUUCGGAUGUUGAGCAUUACCGUCAAACCUGGGCAGUUAUGUAAUCGUAAGCUGGAAUAAAUGUAACCUGAUCAACUACAUUUAUUCGAGAUGCGAUGAACGUGUGCUUGGGAGUGAUAGUGGUGUUGCAACAGGUCUGAAACUUACCAACUAGGAAUGUUAGAGCCAAACACUAAGAUAAAAUACUAUAGGAGUAUUUUGGAACACUAAAUGAUUCACACUAAUCCCAGAAUUCAUAUUCAGAAGAUAAGGAAACAAACAAGAAUUAAAAUACCAUAGGGGUGUUUUAGGAUCCAUAACCAACCUUGCGUGAAUAACUAAAAAGAUCCUUAUUGAUAUACCUACAACUAUAGAGGGUGUACUCCCAAGGUUAUAUAUAAUAAGGAUCCCAUAGGCUAAGAAUGUGUGGUUUCGCUUCACUUCCUUUUCCUCGUUGGGAUGUGGAUAUAGAGUAGUAUCACAUAUUCGAAGGCCUAUCGGAUGUAAGUUAUAUAUGAUUUGUAUACCCUGUGUAAUCGUAGCAGGACUCGAUAUGGAUCACCCAGUGAAAUGUUAAUAAUCCCUUAGGAUUCUUUAGACAUUUCCAUUCUCGCACGAACCCCGUAGAAAACCCUACCCUCUUCAGUGCUCGACAGAUGAGUUGAUAAAGACCCAGAGGAGGUUCAUUGGGAAGAUUUCUUGUUCGGAAAUAAAUGAACUGGGUCGAGACUAUUGAAUGCACCAAGUGCCUAUAUUCUUCUAGGGACAUCGGUGCGAAAUUUGCCUAAACUUCCGAGAUUCCCAGACGCCCUUUAUGAGGUGAUGACACCCAUUUUCGGAUUCGUAAGUGAGGUAAAAUAGAAAUUCAAUAUGUCCAUACGAGAAAAGAACCCUAGGAAACUACCCGAAGGAAACCAGCGCCGACUUCAGUCAAAGAUACGAGGCAGACCGAGGGAGCCAAUACAUGGAACCCGGGAAUUGUCUUUUCCUCCUGUUCGACACACUAAUACACCCAUAAAUUAAUACAAAUUAGUGAGUUAGUGGUUACACAACUCACGCUAUGUGUUAGGUAAAUCGUCAUUUCCUCGUUGCCAGAUUCACGUUUAGGGCGGAUCCCCACACCUUUAUUGAGAGUGUUUAGCCAUGAGCUUUCAUGAGCCUCUCUUUCCGCAGUUUCGUUCCAAACCGUUCUCAAAUCUCUCCAGGUCGGAGAGUAAAACCUUUCCCAGUAUAAAGGUAACGUAGUAGGAACGACUCGCAUCUUAUAGCCUUUUUCCGAUACUCAUACACCUACUUCGAUUUCCAGGACUACAUCAUAGGGAUGUAGGUCGACACUCAGACAAUCAGUACCNAAUCAGUACCUAGGCACGGGAAAAAUUUAUGCCUAAUAUAUUUAGGACAGGAAUGUCCAGGGUUAGCCAUCGUCUCUCAUUACCUCGUAUUCCUUUCUGUGUAGGGAAAACCAUGUCGCCGAAGAAGCGUAACCAGUCCACAAGCAAGAAACCUACUCUCUUAUUCGAUGAAGCUAGGUUUCAAGCUGUAGUCUCCGCAGCCGCAACAACUGUCAUGGCUCACCUGAAUGCUAACACCGCCAAUGUUAGCAAGGGCCCUGUCGGAAUUUUCGAUCCUGGCAAUGGACAGCAGCAACCAACACUUUCAUACCCAGUCACCCAAGAACCUCAACCGAACCCACUAAAGAGAAAACUCAAGAUUGAGGAGGGAAGUACCUCGGCUCAAGGACCUUCCGAAGGGCAACGAGCUGAGACGGCCAAUGCUCCUGUAAAUCCUUCCCUCCCGACUCCAAGAAGACCAUACCUAGGAAACAUUCCCCAUUGCAACAAGUGUAGCUACCAUCAUCAUGGUGUCUGUCGGGAGCUCUAUUGUGCUAGGUGCCACAUGUUGGGGCAUACUGCUCGCGUCUGCAGAACCCCGGUUGAGUUCAUUACAUCAACCACAAAUGUGGCAACCCGUACAGUUUGCCACCUAUGUGGUGAAGUGGGACACUUCAAGAAGGACUGCCCAACCGAAGGGAAAGACAAGGACACAGGAGGAGCCUGACUCUAUUGCUUAAGGAAGAGCGUCAAAGAACUCGUUAGAUUUUGGUAUGUCUCUCGAUUUUGGUAUGUCUCUCGACUCCAAGAAGACCAUACCUAGGAAACCUUCCCCAAUAAGGCAAAAGUCGCAGCACUGUUUUAAAAUUUAAAAAUUCAUUAGGUAAAACUAUAAUGGCUAAACAUAUACGUCACGGCCAUGUAUAGUUAAGAUGGACAGACCUAGAGUGAGCGAAUGCCGCCUCCUUUCCUGUUCCUCGUUUGGUUGUGGAUUUAGGGCGGGGUCGCUCAGUCAACAGUCCUCCCCACCUUAAAUAUACAUGACUAGUAUAUGUGAGGCGAUUAUAGAAAUGCNCCACUCAUGAAAAGGUACUCUACUAAGAAACACUUAGGACUCUCUAUAGUUCCGUGUCGACUCUAUCGGUCCAAGUAUCCGUGGUAGUGAUACACAGGACGAAACCCGAGACACCUAGAACUUGUGUGCUUGUUCGGCACAUGACUCUAAUGAUCUUCAUUAUAUAUCAUGUCGGAGUGUGCCAACUUCGACGACUCUAUUGAUCAUGUUUUGACUUCGUGCCACCAUGUGUACAUCCUUAGUGUUGUGUAAAAAGAACUUUCUCCGUAGCCAUGUCGGCAAAUAAAGGUUCUCCCGAAUCUAAAACUAACACAAAUAAUCAAACCUAAUGCGAUCCAUCAAUCGUCCCUCUUAUCUCAAACCUUCCGAAGUACCCAAGAGAGGGUACCGUACGCUGUUGACCGACCCCUCGUAGUCAGAUGGACACCGAAGUGAACGACACUGCAGAUACUCCAGAAGACGAUAACCACCCGAAGCAUACCUAGUAGAUUCCUUAGAAAGAACCUUCAUCCUAUCCCAUGGAGCGGGAGCUAAAGUCAAGAGAACCCCUACGGAUUGAGCUACUAUAAUGACCACGAAUUCGAAAUUUGUUGUCAUCCCGGUUAAGCCAACAUACUAGCUAACACCCUCGGUUGAUAAAGAAACCUGAGUUGUAAGGGUCAAGGACACUGACUACGACCAUCCAUUCACGCUUAAUUCCCCGAAUUAAGCAUCGCAGCGAAUAUCCCGGAAAUCCGAGAGCUGCGAUAAAGUAAGCUCUAAUAAUAAUGGAUGAAAAGAUUNCGAGUGAUUGCCUAUAUUUACUAGAUUCGACCUAGACCGAGAAAACUCGGAACCUUCGGAGGAUUAGUGGCAGUAGAUGCUCGUACUACUCAGGCACUUCGUCCAUCCUGUUAUGGACAAGUAGUGCCUAUCAUCCUCCACCCUCUCGCAUGGAGGAAAUCGUUGUCGCCUUGUAGAUGAUAGACUUCAUUCUCCGAAGAGAACACUAGAAUAUCGAGAACCACAGGAUAACCUCCGUAGCUAAGAAUACUUGAUUAAAGUGCGAAAGUAGUUGCGUUAAGCCUCAUGAACCAAAUCCCGAAAAGAUUAUAGACUUGACACCAGCCUUGGUGUUAGUCGAGGGGUUAUGCAGGAGCAUGCGCUUUCCGCACAAGAAUAAACCAAAGUCUUAGAGGUUAAUUGGACUAUUAGGUGUUCCACGGAUACUAUCUCACGCAGAAAUAGUAGAACCACCUCCUGAGAUAGUCCAACACUCGUCUGGUGAAACCCUAUCUCCCCGACCCUCAGGAUUUUCGUGUCUCAAGAUUCGUUAGUGCAGGUCCAUUUUGCACAAGCUUGAGAUAGACACUCUACAGCAGACAGAUAACCGUAGAUACGCAACCCAUCCGAUGACCUAGAAAGUCUCUAUCAGCCAGUUGACAAGAAACGCGAAACCAAAGACCACCCGAGCUUUCUAAGAACCAGCCUGAAUGACUACACUACCAGUAUGGGAGAGAAUGUUAGGAACUUCGAAAUGGCGAUCGCGCCAGUAAUGAUCUGCCAUAGAAGUACACUAUGUUCUAAGUACUGUAAAGCUCUACCCUUCCGAGAGCUUAGGACCAUCUGAAAAUCCUCAGGGAUUUGUUCCAACCCUCUUCAGACCACUACUACAUUCGGAUACUCCGCAAGCUCCACACCUCGAUCGAUCCACUUCUUAGACUUGAUAUGCGAUUACUCGACGAAACUCUUCAUACCCAACUCAUUUCGAUAGAAACCAUUGAGAACCCUAACCUUGUAGAUACACUAGUCGGGACCCACUAACUACGCGAGACGAAAUCCGCAUCCCGUACGUGAAGGUCUGUUGGAAUGACAAACACGGACCAGAGAUCACUUGGGAAUGCGAGGACAAGCCGUAUAGGAAGUACCCUCUUGCCUCUACUUGGCCAUUCAUACCUAUUUCCUUGCUUAGACCUGAAUUUCGGGACGAAAUUCCCUCUAACGGGGGGAUGAUGUGACAACCCAAGUUGUUCCGUUACAUUUCCCCGUUACUGUUAACGGAAUAUUCCAGUUAUAAAAGUUCCGUUAAUUAGAGGUCAUAAAUUUAAUAAACAUUCCAUUUGUUUACACCUAUUAUGCCGUUAAGUCGUGAUAAAAGAAAAUAAAAACACAUAACACACAUUUCCAUUUAUUUCAAAAAGUUAGUUUUUAUUAUUACGACCACUAAAUCGGGUGCGACGAAAAGCCCCGUUUAACGGCAGUAUCAGGUAAAAUUUCACUGAGCCCCGACUCGGAACCCUAUAUAAAGGUGAGUGGAGUCCAUUGGAGACUUUUUACACUCUCUCUAUACUCUCUCUCUAGACUCGUUUUCGCCCCGAAUCUGCAACCAAACGCUUCCAAAUUGUAAGUCCGCCUACCCUAGCUUAUUCUAAACAUUAUGAUUCAUGUCUAUAUCCCAAAAAUCAAACUUAGAAGCUGUUGAAAAGGAGUUUACGGCCUAAGCUCCUCCUUAGGCCGUAAACACCUUAAAUGAGGCCAAAUUGACCCCAAAAUGUCCCUAAAGGCUUGGAAACAAAUUAAGGGAUUAGUCUAGGAGUGUUUGAUCAAUUAAAACAAUCAAUUUGGGGUAUAAAAGGGAGUUUACGGCCCAAGCAUAUGCCAAGGCCGUAAACACCCCUUAAUCAUGUCUAAAUGACCCAAAAACACUCCUAAAACACCCUAGGACUUAAUACAUAAGUUAGGGGCUUAUCCUUUUGGGUUUAGAACAUUUAAAC
rnacentral:lncRNA from 1 species